UACGUAGGGGGCUAGCGUUGUCCGGAAUCAUUGGGCGUAAAGCGCGUGUAGGCGGCCCGAUAAGUCCGCUGUGAAAGUCCAGGGCUCAACCCUGGGAUGCCGGUGGAUACUGUCGGGCUCGAGUCCGGAAGAGGCGAGUGGAAUUCCUGGUGUAGCGGUGAAAUGCGCAGAUAUCAGGAGGAACACCAAUGGCGAAGGCAGCUCGCUGGGACGUGACUGACGCUGAGACGCGAAAGCCAGGGGAGCAAACGGG
rnacentral:rRNA from 1 species